rnacentral:rRNA from 1 species
UGUCUGGUGGGUAGUUUGACUGGGGCGGUCUCCUCCUAAAGAGUAACGGAGGAGCACGAAGGUUGGCUAAUCCUGGUCGGACAUCAGGAGGUUAGUGCAAUGGCAUAAGCCAGCUUGACUGCGAGCGUGACGGCGCGAGCAGGUGCGAAAGCAGGUCAUAGUGAUCCGGUGGUUCUGAAUGGAAGGGCCAUCGCUCAACGGAUAAAAGGUACUCCGGGGAUAACAGGCUGAUACCGCCCAAGAGUUCAUAUCGACGGCGGUGUUUGGCACCUCGAUGUCGGCUCAUCACAUCCUGGGGCUGAAGUAGGUCCCAAGGGUAUGGCUGUUCGCCAUUUAAAGUGGUACGCGAGCUGGGUUUAGAACGUCGUGAGACAGUUCGGUCCCUA